GACCUUGGACCAAGUUAGGGAGAGGC
rnacentral:piRNA from 1 species